AGAGUUUGAUCCUGGCUCAGAUUGAACGCUGGCGGCAUGCCUUACACAUGCAAGUCGAACGGCAGCACGGGAGCAAUCCUGGUGGCGAGUGGCGAACGGGUGAGUAAUACAUCGGAACGUGCCCAGUUGUGGGGGAUAGCCCGGCGAAAGCCGGAUUAAUACCGCAUACGACCUACGGGUGAAAGCGGGGGAUCGCAAGACCUCGCGCAAUUGGAGCGGCCGAUGGCAGAUUAGCUUGUUGGUGGGGUAAAAGCCUACCAAGGCGACGAUCUGUAGCUGGUCUGAGAGGACGACCAGCCACACUGGGGCUGAGACACGGCCCAGACUCCUACGGGAGGCAGCAGUGGGGAAUUUUGGACAAUGGGCGCAAGCCUGAUCCAGCCAUGCCGCGUGUGGGAAGAAGGCCUUCGGGUUGUAAACCACUUUUGUCAGGGAAGAAACGGUCUGAUCUAAUAAAUCGGACUAAUGACGGUACCUGAAGAAUAAGCACCGGCUAACUACGUGCCAGCAGCCGCGGUAAUACGUAGGGUGCAAGCGUUAAUCGGAAUUACUGGGCGUAAAGCGUGCGCAGGCGGCUAUGCAAGACAGAUGUGAAAUCCCCGGGCUCAACCUGGGAACUGCAUUUGUGACUGCAUGGCUAGAGUACGGCAGAGGGGGAUGGAAUUCCGCGUGUAGCAGUGAAAUGCGUAGAUAUGCGGAGGAACACCGAUGGCGAAGGCAAUCCCCUGGGCCUGUACUGACGCUCAUGCACGAAAGCGUGGGGAGCAAACAGGAUUAGAUACCCUGGUAGUCCACGCCCUAAACGAUGUCAACUGGUUGUUGGACGGCUUGCUGUUCAGUAACGAAGCUAACGCGUGAAGUUGACCGCCUGGGGAGUACGGCCGCAAGGUUGAAACUCAAAGGAAUUGACGGGGACCCGCACAAGCGGUGGAUGAUGUGGUUUAAUUCGAUGCAACGCGAAAAACCUUACCUACCCUUGACAUGUCUAGAAGUUUCCAGAGAUGGAUUCGUGCUCGAAAGAGAACUAGAACACAGGUGCUGCAUGGCCGUCGUCAGCUCGUGUCGUGAGAUGUUGGGUUAAGUCCCGCAACGAGCGCAACCCUUAUCAUUAGUUGCUACGCAAGGGCACUCUAAUGAGACUGCCGGUGACAAACCGGAGGAAGGUGGGGAUGACGUCAGGUCAUCAUGGCCCUUAUGGGUAGGGCUACACACGUCAUACAAUGGCCGGUACAGAGGGCUGCCAACUCGCGAGAGGGAGCUAAUCUCAGAAAACCGGUCGUAGUCCGGAUCGCAGUCUGCAACUCGACUGCGUGAAGUCGGAAUCGCUAGUAAUCGCGGAUCAGCUUGCCGCGGUGAAUACGUUCCCGGGUCUUGUACACACCGCCCGUCACACCAUGGGAGCGGGUUCUGCCAGAAGUAGUUAGCCUAACCGCAAGGAGGGCGAUUACCACGGCAGGGUUCGUGACUGGGGUGAAGUCGUAACAAGGUA
rnacentral:rRNA from 1 species